UACAGAGGGUGCAAGCGUUAAUCGGAAUUACUGGGCGUAAAGCGUGCGUAGACGGUUACAUAAGUCGGGUGUGUAAGCCCCGGGCUCAACCUGGGAAUUGCAUUCGAGACUGUGUAGCUAGGAUGCGGAAGAGGGAAGCGGAAUUUCCGGUGUAGCGGUGAAAUGCGUAGAUAUCGGAAGGAACACCAGUGGCGAAAGCGGCUUCCUGGUCCAGCAUCGACGUCAGGCACGAAAGCGUGGGGAGCAAACAGG
rnacentral:rRNA from 1 species